rnacentral:lncRNA from 1 species
AAAGAAACAGACCCAAGGGAAGCUGGACAUGGAGCUUAUGACAUAACAGUAGACAAAGGACAGCGAGAAACAAGAGAGAAAGAACAGAGAGGACCAGACCACCCUUCACCAGGGAGACCAGAAACAGGUCCCUGGUGUCCGGAAGAAUUCACAAAAAUGUGGAAAUGAGCAAAAUCAAGUACCCGGUGUCAUUUUAGAGGAGGUCUGGGUAUUAUCUAGUAGACCUCAAGGGAUUGUCUGCUCCUACCAGGAUGAACACCUUUGACGGAUUUCAAUCAAUAAGGCUAUUUUACAGUUCUGUCGAGGGCUGCUUUGGGACCACAGAAUGGAGUGGCUGUGACCGAGUGACAGAAUGGAGUGGCUGUGACCGAGGACGUAUGGUGGGAAAGCCUAAAGAGUUUCAUCCAUAGCCCUUCAUGAAGUUUGCCAGUCCCCAUCGACAUGCUACGCCAAGAGAAAGGAAGUAAUGAAUUGGGGGCAGGUUGAGGGUCAAGAAGAGGGCAGGGGAACGGGGAAGUGGUGGAGGAAAAGAUAUUUGGGGGUGAAAGGAGAA